rnacentral:lncRNA from 1 species
AGUGAAAAGUGAAAGCGAAGUUGCUCAGUUGUGUCCGCUAGAAAUCUGCAAAUUAUUAACCAGUGGCUUUGGUAAGAGAUAACUAUGGAAAAAAGCUUGCCUCUAUUUCUUAUUUGAACUGGAUAAAUGGAUAAUGGGUGGGACAGAAUGAACAUUAUUAGGAGAAUUAAAGUAGAGGCAAGAACAAGCCAAGGUAUUUUAGCCUAGCAUAAGAGGUUCAGACUAGAAAAGGUCUUCAGCAUCAAACUAAAAAAAACCUAAGGUUUCAGAAUAGGGAAAUGAUAGUAUGAGAACGAUUUUUAAGACUACUGAUUUGAUGGGAUGAGUGAGCAAAGCUGGAAAGUGUCAGAACAUUUAGAAUGAGGUAAUAAGGGUGAGCAUCAAGGAGGAAGUACUGACUAUAGUAACUAGAAUGUCAGAGAACACUGGUAAAAACGGUCAAACUUCCUUUCACAUAUGUAAGGACAGGAAGUUAGUAUUAAAUAAGAGAUUUAAAAUAUUAUAAACACAAGAGUAAUCAAAAUAAUAAUAGUAAAAAAUAAUAAGAACAAAAUAAUCUUCAACAGGUUUUUCAGAUGUUUACUUGCAUGAUUCUUGAAACUCCACUAAGAGCUCAGGAGCAGUUUGUAUUGCCUUCUUUUAAUGGAGUUUUGGGAACAAAAUUUUCUUUACUUUCAUGAAGAAAAGCCUUUGAAGGAUCAAAGCAAUACCCAGAACUUUAUUCAAUUCCUCCUGAAGUUUUGCUUCACUUUGUUUUCUUUUAAUAAGCUGAGCACGGAGUUUUAACACCUCCGAUUUGAGAUUGCUAUUUUCAUCUUUCAAUUUCACAACAUGCUUGAUUUUUUGCUUUAGAUUCUGAUGACCCAAUAAUUUAGCAUAUGAAUCUCUUAGAUUAUUUAGUUGUUUCUGAGCCACACCAUAUUCAUUCAACAAAGCCUGUUUCUCUGCUUCAAAUGCAUCCUGUUGUAGCUGAAAAGGCUUUGUUUUAUUAUAUAAUUCUUCAUAGAGGAGACGCCAUUUAUUCAUUUCCUCAGUUAAUUCUGCUAUUGAGUUUUCUUUUCCAGCUUUUCUUCCUCCUUCCUCUUCCAGUUGCUUAAGCAGGUUUUCCACUUGUUCCUCCUUUUGCUGCAAUUUAUCCAGCUCAUCCAAGGCCUGCUUUAAUUCUCCCUCAAGGACAGUUCUCUCUUUAAUCAUUUCUUCUUGAAAAGAACAUAGCUUCUGCUGAAGACCAGAAGAUAAUUCCUUCUCUUUUGCAGAAGUGAAUCUAGUUACAAUACUUUAUGUUGUAGCUCUUCAUGUUCUUGUUUUUCAAGAAGACUUCUCUUUUAAGCUUUGUAUCUCAGAAUUUAGAUUUUUGUCCCAUUCUCUGUUCCUAUUGAUGAGGUCUUCUUUUUCUUCUUCAAGCACCUGGCAUUUAGACUUCAUGUCUUCUACUUGUUUAGACAAUAUAUAUUUUCCUCAAGAGCCUGCUUAAGGCUUAAAACUUAAGAAAUAAAUUGUGCAUCAGAUCAAGUGAAAGAAUACA